AUCGCUGCUGUAGCUGGACAAAGCAAGAAUUCUUGGUCUUUUGUUGGUAAAUCUGUAAAUGCCAUAAAUAUGCUCAAUUGCUCAAAAUUGACCAAAAGCAGAGCAUUACUUAGCUUCCUUUCUAACAAAGAUGGAUUUGAUAAGAAACAGUCGGUGUGAUGACAGCCCCAUUCCUAAUCACUUAAUCAGUUUCGAAAAUGGCUCACCCUUGCUAUCAGAAUUCGGUAGUAUCUCCGCACUAGUCCACUAGUUCAUGCACAACCAAAUAAGUCAUCUC
rnacentral:misc_RNA from 1 species